GACGAACGCUGGCGGCGUGCUUAACACAUGCAAGUCGAACGGAAAGGCCCUGCUUUUGUGGGGUGCUCGAGUGGCGAACGGGUGAGUAACACGUGAGUAACCUGCCCUUGACUUUGGGAUAACUUCAGGAAACUGGGGCUAAUACCGGAUAGGAGCUCCUGCUGCAUGGUGGGGGUUGGAAAGUUUCGGCGGUUGGGGAUGGACUCGCGGCUUAUCAGCUUGUUGGUGGGGUAGUGGCUUACCAAGGCUUUGACGGGUAGCCGGCCUGAGAGGGUGACCGGCCACAUUGGGACUGCGAGACGGCCCAGACUGCUACGGUGGGCAGCAGUGGGGAAUAUUGCACAAUGGGCGCAAGCCUGAUGCAGCAACGCCGCGUGCGGGAUGACGGCCUUCUGGUUGUAAACCGCUUUCGCCUGUGACGAAGCGUGAGUGACGGUAAUGGGUAAAGAAGCACCGGCUAACUACGUG
rnacentral:rRNA from 1 species